GUAUGAAAAUUGUUGAUUUGAAUAAAUAAAUAAAGUUAUUGUAAUAUAAAUAAAUAAAGUCAUUAUAAUUAAUACAUCUAAACAGUACACGUAUAAAAAGUAAGAUCCACCCUCUCUUUUAAUUCAUACACAUGUACAUAUACCCUUAGGGCAGUACUUGAUCAUGAGUUGGUCAGUGGAUAUUUGUGAUCUUGGUUUUUAUUGGUUGUUUGUGUCAGGUUGAAUUUGGUUGGUUUGUAUAUUUUGCUUUAUGUGUUUUACCGCCAAGUUUGACAAUCUUUGUCUGGACAUUGACCAGAACAGACUAUAUAUUUAUAUAGAGAAGUAAUUUAAUUUUGGACCAGACCUUGUUCUUUUUCUGAAUCAGUCAAUGUCAAUUUAAUCUCACCACGCAAUCGGUGUAUGAGCCUGUUCCCAUAGAAUGGGCUUAAAUAUACAUUGCAAAUUUUAAAGUCACUGUGUCCGGAUACGAAUAAACGAACCAUACAGAUA